rnacentral:rRNA from 1 species
CCCUUAGAUGUUCUGGGCCGCACGCGCGCUACACUGAUACGUUCAACGAGUUUACAACCUUGAUCGAAGGGUCUGGGUAAUCUUUUGAAUGCGUAUCGUGCUAGGGAUAGACUAUUGCAAUUAUUGGUCUUCAACGAGGAAUUCCUAGUAGACGUAGUUCAUCAGACUGCAUCGAUUACGUCCCUGCCCUUUGUACACACCGCCCGUCGCUUCUACCGAUGAAUGAUCCGGUGAACACUCUGUACUUGUUGUCUGUCGGAGCAAUCCAAAGACGAUAGGGAAGUUGUGUAAACCUUAUCAUUUAGAGGAAGAAGAAGUCGUAACA